UAAAGAAUUUCGGUCAUCGAUGGGGAUGCGUUCCAUUAGCUUGUUGGCGGGGUAACGGCCCACCAAGGCAUCGAUGGAUAGGGGUUCUGAGAGGAAGGUCCCCCACAUUGGAACUGAGACACGGUCCAAACUCCUACGGGAGGCAGCAGUGAGGAAUAUUGGUCAAUGGGCGCUAGCCUGAACCAGCCAAGUAGCGUGAAGGAUGACUGCCCUAUGGGUUGUAAACUUCUUUUAUAUGGGAAUAAAGUGCAGUACGUAUACUGCUUUGCAUGUACCUUAUGAAUAAGGAUCGGCUAACUCCGUGCCAGCAGCCGCGGUAAUACGGAGGAUCCGAGCGUUAUCCGGAUUUAUUGGGUUUAAAGGGAGCGUAGGCGGGUUGUUAAGUCAGUUGUGAAAGUUUGCGGCUCAACCGUAAAAUUGCAGUUGAUACUGGCAUCCUUGAGUACAGUAGAGGUAGGCGGAAUUCGUGGUGUAGCGGUGAAAUGCUUAGAUAUCACGAAGAACUCCGAUUGCGAAGGCAGCCUGCUGGACUGUAACUGACGCUGAUGCUCGAAAGUGUGGGUAUCAAACAGGAUUAGAUACCCUGGUAGUCCACACAGUAAACGAUGAAUACUCGCUGUUUGCGAUAUACAGUAA
rnacentral:rRNA from 1 species